rnacentral:tRNA from 2 species
GCCCGGUUAGCUGAUCAGUCGGUAGAGCAUUUGACUUUUACGCUGCGUACAAGGUUGCGCUGAAAGAAGCGGUCAUCAAAAUGUCGGGGGUUCGAGCCCCCCAUUGGGCG